rnacentral:rRNA from 1 species
GACGAACGCUGGCGGCGUGCUUAACACAUGCAAGUCGAACGGAAAGGCCCUGCUUUUGUGGGGUGCUCGAGUGGCGAACGGGUGAGUAACACGUGAGUAACCUGCCCUUGACUUUGGGAUAACUUCAGGAAACUGGGGCUAAUACCGGAUAGGAGCUCCUGCUGCAUGGUGGGGGCUGGAAAGUUUCAGCGGUUGGGGAUGGACUCGCGGCUUAUCAGCUUGUUGGUGGGGUAGUGGCUUACCAAGGCUUUGACGGGUAGCCGGCCUGAGAGGGUGACCGGCCACAGUGGGACUGAGAUACGGCCCAGACUCAUACGGGAGGCAGCAGUGGGGGAUAUUGCACAAUGGGCGGAAGCCUGAUGCAGCAACGCCGCGUGCGGGAUGACGGCCGUCGGGGUGUAAACCGCUUGCGCCUGUGACGAAGCGUGAGUGACGGUAAUGGGUAAAGAAGCACCGGCUAACUACGUG